CUGAACCCAUGUGGAUCUGAAAAAACUGAAUAUCUUUAUUUGGGCAAGGGUUCAUGUCCUGACAUGUGUAAACCCUUGGCUGGGCUGCAUUAACUUAAUAAUACAAUGGGAAAUGGCUUAAUAGUUGUAUUAGCUCCUGGAUAACACUAUUAAAUACAAUUUUAGACUGAAGAGAGCGGAAGGAAUGCAAUUGAUACUUGCGAGUGCUAACCAAAUUCAUCCGAUGGAACUCAACACCCAGCCUACCCCAGACUCGCCCCCUGGCAGGUCCCCCUGCUGUACAGGUUGCAGCAUCUCAGGUGGCAGCUGUUGUCACUGAGCCUGAUUCCAACCAGGUAGAGGAGGUCCCCACUCCCCCACUGACCCCCAGGUGGAGCCCAUCGAGGCGGCCAAGCCCUAAGACAAAUCCCCUUCAUCCUUCACUCCAGCCACUUGGGGCAGAUUAUAUGGGCAAGAGUGUGGGUCUUAUUCUGAAUUCCAAAUCGAGCCCUAGCCCCUAUCUCCGUAGGCUCCUCUAUAGAUCAAACAAUUAGAUAGGUAGGUGGUAGAAAUUUACCCAGCCUACCAGGAGGCUUACAUACUGUUAAAAUCUUAUACAGAUCUAUAGGAAUGUCAAGGGGUAUAGGGGCAGGGGGUUGAUUUAAAAUUCAAUUUUUUUGCAAAAUGUUGUAGUGACCAGCAGGUCAAAGUCCCAUAAAUGACAUAACUGUUUUGCCCUAAAUGGAGGCACUCAAACCUUUAUUGCCUCAGUAAUUAUUCAACUAUAGAAAUGGGAAGAAAAUAUAAAUUGUAACCAAUAUCAAUUUGUUAGUUUUUUUUGUUGUCUAGUUUUGCAAAUAAAUGUAUUUAAGUGAAUGACAUCACAACUCUAAUCACUUACCAAGCUAACCAAGCAAUGAUAUUACACGCCAUCAAACCCUUAUGAUUGCAUUCCCUGAUCUGCAUGGAAAGUAUACAGGUAAUUGCCAAAAUAAAAGUAACAAAUCAA